rnacentral:rRNA from 1 species
GACGAACGCUGGCGGCGUGCCUAAUACAUGCAAGUAGAACGCAGUUGCGAACGGGUGAGUAACGCGUAGGUAACUGCCUGGUAGCGGGGGAUAACUAUUGGAAACGAUAGCUAAUACCGCAUACUACCAGAUGGACCUGCGUUGUAUGAGGUAGUUGGUGAGGUAACGGCUCACCAAGGCAACGAUUCAUAGCCGACCUGAGAGGGUGAUCGGCCACACUGGGAAUGAGACACGGCCCAGACUCCUACGGGAGGCAGCAGUAGGGGAACUUCGGCAAUGGGGGGAACUCUUAACCAGCAACGGCGCGGGAGUGAAUAAGGUUUUCGGAUCGUAAAUCUCCGUUGUUAAGGAAGCGGUACUUAACCAGAAAGGGACGGCUAACUACGUGCCAGCAGCCGCGGUAAUUC